rnacentral:rRNA from 1 species
GACGAACGCUGGCGGCGUGCUUAAUACAUGCAAGUCGAACGCAUUGUCUUUCAUCGUAUCUUGCUACACCGAGAGAAAGUGGGUGGCAAACCGUUGAGUAACACGUCGGUAACCUGCCCAUCAGCCGGGGAACUCAGUUGGAAACAGGAUCUAAGACCGUACAACUCCAUUUGCCGUAGGGUGUAUCGGUGGAUGGGGCUGGUCCGUCGGUUUAUGAGGGUGUUGGUGGGGUAGUGGCAGACCAUGGCUUUGAGGGGUAGCCGGCCUGAGAGGGUGACCGGCCACAUUGGGACUGAGAUACGGCACAGACUCCUACGGGAGGCAGCAGUGGGGAAUAUUGCACAAUGGGCGGAAGCAUGAUGCAGCAACGCCGCGUGCGGGAUGACGGCCGUCGGGUUGUAAACCGCUUUCGCCUGUGACGAAGCGUGAGUGACGGUAAUGGGUAAAGAAGCACCGGCUAACUACGUG